rnacentral:rRNA from 1 species
UACGAAGGGGGCUAGCGUUGUUCGGAAUCACUGGGCGUAAAGGGUGCGUAGGCCGCCCGGUAAGUCAGAGGUGAAAUCCCGGAGCUCAACUUCGGAAUUGCCUCCGAUACUGCCGUGCUUGAGGACUGGAGAGGAGUCUGGAAUUCACAGUGGAGCAGUGAAAUGCGUAGAUAUUGUGAGGAACACUAGUGGCGAAGGCGAGACUCUGGACAGUACCUGACGCUGAGGCACGAAGGCCAGGGGAGCAAACAGG